UACGGGGGGGGCAAGCGUUGUUCGGAAUUACUGGGCGUAAAGGGCUCGUAGGCGGCCAACUAAGUCGGAUGUGAAAUCCCCAGGCUCAACCUGGGAACUGCAUCCGAUACUGGAUGGCUUGAAUUCGGGAGAGGGAUGCAGAAUUCCAGGUGUAGCGGUGAAAUGCGUAGAUAUCUGGAGGAACACCGGUGGCGAAGGCGGGUCUCUGGGCCGAUACUGACGCUGAGGAGCGAAAGCGUGGGGAGCGAACAGG
rnacentral:rRNA from 1 species